rnacentral:rRNA from 1 species
AGCGAACGCUGGCGGCAGGCUUAACACAUGCAAGUCGAGCGGGCACUUUCGGGUGUCAGCGGCGGACGGGUGAGUAACGCGUGGGAACGUGCCCUCUGGUUCGGAAUAACUCAGGGAAACUUGAGCUAAUACCGGAUACGCCCUUUUGGGGAAAGGCUUGCUGCCGGAGGAUCGGCCCGCGUCUGAUUAGCUAGUUGGUGAGGUAACGGCUCACCAAGGCGACGAUCAGUAGCUGGUCUGAGAGGAGGAUCAGCCACACUGGGACUGAGACACGGCCCAGACCCCUCCGGGAGGCAGGAGGGGGGAAUUUGGGACAAUGGGCGCAAGCCUGACCCACCCAGGCCGGGUGGGGGAUGAAGGCCUUAGGGUUGAAAAGCUCUUUUUGCCGGGACGAUAAUGGCGGGCCCGGGGGAAUAAGCCCCGGCUAACUUCGG